rnacentral:rRNA from 1 species
UCGCGAAAACUUUGCAAUAAGCGAAAGCUUGACAGGGCUAUCCCGAGUGCCAUCCGCUGAGGAAGGCUUUUACCCAGUCUAGAACGCUGGGGGAAUAAGGAGAGGGCAAGUCUGGUGUCAGCCGCCGCGGUAAUACCAGCUCUCCGAGUGGUGUGGAUGUUUAUUGGGCCUAAAGCAUCCGUAGCUGGCUGAGCAAGUCCUCUGUUAAACCCACCGAACCAAUCGUUGGUGUGCGGGGGAUACUGCUCGGCUAGGGGACGAGAGAGGCAGACGGUAUUCUCGGGGUAGGGUGAAAUCCUAUAAUCCCGGGAAGACCACCAGUGGCGAAGGCUGUCUGCUAGAACGCGCCCGACGGUGAGGGAUGAAAGCUGGGGGAGCGAACCGGAUUAGAUACCCGGGUAGUCCCAGCUGUAAACGAUGCAGGCUAGGUGUUUGGACGGCCACGUGCCGUUCUAGUGCCGCAGGGAAGCUGUUAAGCCUUGCCGCCUGGGGAGUACGGUCGCGAAGGCUAGAAACUUAAGGAAUUGGC